rnacentral:rRNA from 1 species
CCUACGGGUGGCAGCAGUAGGGAAUAUUGCUCAAUGGGGGAAACCCUGAAGCAGCAACGCCGCGUGGAGGAUGAAGGUUUUCGGAUUGUAAACUCCUUUUGUUAGAGACGAUAAGGACGGUAUCUAUCGAAUAAACACCGGCUAACUCCGCGCCAGCAGCCGCGGUAAUACGUAGGGGGCAAGCGUUACUCGGAAUCACUGGGCGUAAAGAGCGCGUGGGCGGGGUAGCAAGUCAGAUGUGAAAUCCUAGGGCUUAACCAUAGAACUGCAUUUGAAACUGUUAUUCUAGAGUAUGGGAGAGGCAGGUGGAAUUCUUGGUGUAGGGGUAAAAUCCGUAGAGAUCAAGAGGAAUACUCGUUGCGAAGGCGACCUGCUAGAACGUAACUGACGCUGAUGCGCGAAAGCGUGGGGAGCAAACAGGAUUAGAUACCCCGGUAGUC